AGCAACAAAUGCCCUGCUUCCAGGAAAAGCCUCUAAGCAUCAGGUAACAUCAAAUCGUACCCCAAACCGACACAGGUGGUCAGGUAGAGAAUACCAAGGCGCUUGAGAGAACUCGGGUGAAGGAACUAGGCAAAAUGGUGCCGUAACUUCGGGAGAAGGCACGCUGACACGUAGGUGAAGUGAUUUACUCAUGGAGCUGAAGUCAGUCGAAGAUACCAGCUGGCUGCAACUGUUUAUUAAAAACACAGCACUGUGCAAACACGAAAGUGGACGUAUACGGUGUGACGCCUGCCCGGUGCCGGAAGGUUAAUUGAUGGGGUCAGCGCAAGCGAAGCUCCUGAUCGAAGCCCCGGUAAACGGCGGCCGUAACUAUAACGGUCCUAAGGUAGCGAAAUUCCUUGUCGGGUAAGUUCCGACCUGCACGAAUGGCGUAAUGAUGGCCAGGCUGUCUCCACCCGAGACUCAGUGAAAUUGAACUCGCUGUGAAGAUGCAGUGUACCCGCGGCAAGACGGAAAGACCCCGUGAACCUUUACUAUAGCUUGACACUGAACAUUGAGCCUUGAUGUGUAGGAUAGGUGGGAGGCUUUGAAGCGUGGACGCCAGUCUGCGUGGAGCCGACCUUGAAAUACCACCCUUUAAUGUUUGAUGUUCUAACGUGGACCCGUAAUCCGGGUUGCGGACAGUGUCUGGUGGGUAGUUUGACUGGGGCGGUCUCCUCCUAAAGAGUAACGGAGGAGCACGAAGGUUGGCUAAUCCUGGUCGGACAUCAGGAGGUUAGUGCAAUGGCAUAAGCCAGCUUGACUGCGAGCGUGACGGCGCGAGCAGGUGCGAAAGCAGGUCAUAGUGAUCCGGUGGUUCUGAAUGGAAGGGCCAUCGCUCAACGGAUAAAAGGUACUCCGGGGAUAACAGGCUGAUACCGCCCAAGAGUUCAUAUCGACGGCGGUGUUUGGCACCUCGAUGUCGGCUCAUCACAUCCUGGGGCUGAAGUAGGUCCCAAGGGUAUGGCUGUUCGCCAUUUAAAGUGGUACGCGAGCUGGGUUUAGAACGUCGUGAGACAGUUCGGUCCCUAUCUGCCGUGGGCGCUGGAAGACUGAGGGGGGCUGCUCCUAGUACGAGAGGACCGGAGUGGACGCAUCACUGGUGUUCGGGUUGUCAUGCCAAUGGCACUGCCCGGUAGCUAAAUGCGGAAAAGAUAAGUGCUGAAAGCAUCUAAGCACGAAACUUGCCCCGAGAUGAGUCUUCCCUGAGACUUUGAGUCUCCUGAAGGAACGUUAAAGACGAUGACGUUGAUAGGCCGGGUGUGUAAGCGCAGCGAUGCGUUGAGCUAACCGGUACUAAUGA
rnacentral:rRNA from 1 species